rnacentral:lncRNA from 1 species
CCGCCGAGACCCUGGAGAUCCGCCUCCAGAAAGGCGUCCCCGCAACCCUAGUCCCCCACAGGUUUUUCAAUCUCCCUUCCUCUAUCAUGUACUUAUCUUUUUUUCUUGUGGGUUGAUGUCUUUUCGUUUCUCAACAAGCCAAAGUGAACUACUUGACCACUAAUUGCUCCCCUUCUGGAUCUGACUACCCUAGAAUAUUCAUUUGAAGCGAAAGGCAAUUCAUUUUCUUGCUUUUACUGUGAAAAACACCCACCAGUUUGAACGGUUCUGCUGCAUUUUUGGUAAUUCCUGUUUGCUACUCACUGUGCCCUAAAUACCGAAAUUAUGCUAAGUUGUCUCCUCACUAUCACCAAUUCACCAUCGGUUUCUUUAGAAAAGUUAGUGUAUAUCGGAUUGGUUGAUGUGCGAUUGUAGAAAUCUUGACCUGAUCAUACCGUUGUCAUUAAUGCUGUCGUGAUCCAUGUUUGCC